GAUGAACGCUGGCGGCGUGCCUAAUACAUGCAAGUCGAGCGAACAGACGAGGAGCUUGCUCCUCUGACGUUAGCGGCGGACGGGUGAGUAGCACGUGGAUAACCUACCUAUAAGACUGGGAUAACUUCGGGAAACCGGAGCUAAUACCGGAUAAUAUAUUGAACCGCAUGGUUCAAUAGUGAAAGACGGUUUUGCUGUCACUUAUAGAUGGAUCCGCGCCGCAUUAGCUAGUUGGUAAGGUAACGGCUUACCAAGGCAACGAUGCGUAGCCGACCUGAGAGGGUGAUCGGCCACACUGGAACUGAGACACGGUCCAGACUCCUACGGGAGGCAGCAGUAGGGAAUCUUCCGCAAUGGGCGAAAGCCUGACGGAGCAACGCCGCGUGAGUGAUGAAGGUCUUUGGAUCGUAAAACUCUGUUAUUAGGGAAGAACAAAUGUGUAAGUAACUAUGCACGUCUUGACGGUACCUAAUCAGAAAGCCACGGCUAACUACGUG
rnacentral:rRNA from 1 species